rnacentral:rRNA from 1 species
GAUGAACGCUGGCGGCGUGCCUAAUACAUGCAAGUCGAGCGAACAGAUGAGGAGCUUGCUCCUCUGACGUUAGCGGCGGACGGGUGAGUAACACGUGGAUAACCUACCUAUAAGACUGGGAUAACUUCGGGAAACCGGAGCUAAUACCGGAUAAUAUAUUGAACCGCAUGGUUCAAUAGUGAAAGACGGUUUUGCUGUCACUUAUAGAUGGAUCCGCGCCGCAUUAGCUAGUUGGUAAGGUAACGGCUUACCAAGGCAACGAUGCGUAGCCGACCUGAGAGGGUGAUAGGGGAGACUGGGAGUGGGAGCCGGGCCCGGUGACUACAGGAGGCCGCAGUGGGGAAUAUUGGGGAAUGGGCGAAAGCGUGAUCCAGCAAUGACGCGUGAGCGAGGAAGGGCUUAGGGUUGUAAAGCUCUUGGAUACGGGAUGACAAGUACAGUAGGGGGAGAAUAAGGUCCGGCUAACUCCGUG